GUGGGGAAUUUUCCGCAAUGGGCGAAAGCCUGACGGAGCAACGCCGCGUGAGGGAGGAAGGUCUUUGGAUUGUAAACCUCUUUUCUCAAGGAAGAAGUUCUGACGGUACUUGAGGAAUCAGCCUCGGCUAACUCCGUGCCAGCAGCCGCGGUAAUACGGGGGAGGCAAGCGUUAUCCGGAAUUAUUGGGCGUAAAGCGUCCGCAGGUGGUCAGCCAAGUCUGCCGUCAAAUCAGGUUGCUUAACGACCUAAAGGCGGUGGAAACUGGCAGACUAGAGAGCAGUAGGGGUAGCAGGAAUUCCCAGUGUAGCGGUGAAAUGCGUAGAGAUUGGGAAGAACAUCGGUGGCGAAAGCGUGCUACUGGGCUGUAUCUGACACUCAGGGACGAAAGCUAGGGGAGCGAAAGGGAUUAGAAACCCGGGUAGUCC
rnacentral:rRNA from 1 species